GCCCUACCAUGCUGAAUAUACCGGUUCUUCUCGUUAGAUCACCGAAGUCAAGCAUCAUUGGGCGCGGUCAGUACUUGGGUGGGUGACCACCUGGGAACACCGCGUGCCGUU
rnacentral:rRNA from 1 species